rnacentral:misc_RNA from 1 species
GGAUAAUAAAAAUCAUCAUCUUCAGUUUGGAACAGACCA